rnacentral:rRNA from 1 species
AAACCGUUGAAAGGGAAGCGAAUGGAGUUAGCAAUUCGCCACGCCAGAUUCAGCUGUCCGUGCGGUGCGACGUGCGCGCUCUCGAUCCGCAUGGACGAGACGCUUGCGGGUGCGCCGCGCGAGCCGCGCACUUCUGGCUGGCGAGCGUCAGCGUCGGUUGGCGUCGGGCGACAAGGAUGCGAGGAAGGUGAGCCGGUACUUGCUGCCGGCCGUUAAGCCUCGCGAUCGCACGGCCCGACGCCGACCGUGGGACUGCAACGCGUGCCGCCGCUGUACUACAGGGGUGGCUGGAGACCCGUACCGAUCGGUCCGGCAUGUCGACCGUGGCGGACGGCACGCCUGUGCGCUCGAACUGCUGCCGGUCGAUCGAACGGUGCUCGCACACUACGCUUCGAGGACGCUGACGGCCAUACGGCUCCAUCCGACCCGUCUUGAAACACGGACCAAGGAGUCUAACAUGUGCGCGAGUCUCCGGGUGAUCGAAACCUGUGUGGGCACAAUGAAAGUAAAGACCGUCUACUAGACGGUUGAGGUGAGAAGCGGCAGCUCCGGCUGCCGUCACAUCAUCGACCGACCUAUUCUGCUCUCAGAGAGGUUUGAGUAAGAGCGCACCUGUUGGGACCCGAAAGAUGGUGAACUAUGCCUGAAUAGGGUGAAGCCAGCGGAAACACUGGUGGAAGCUCGUAGCGAUUCUGACGUGCAAAUCGAUCGUCGAAUUUGGGUAUAGCGGCGAAAGACUAAUCGAACCAUCUAGUAGCUGGUUCCCUCCGAAG